rnacentral:rRNA from 1 species
GACGAACGCUGGCGGCGUGCUUAACACAUGCAAGUCGAGCGGUAAGGCCCUUUCGGGGGUACACGAGCGGCGAACGGGUGAGUAACACGUGGGUGACCUGCCCUCAGCUCUGGGAUAAGCCUGGGAAACCGGGUCUAAUACCGGAUAUGACUCCAUGACGCAUGUUGUGGGGUGAAAGCCUUGUGCGGCUGAGGAUGGGCCCGCGGCCUAUCAGCUUGUUGGUGGGGUNAUGGCCUACCAAGGCGACGACGGGUAGCCGGCCUGAGAGGGCGACCGGCCACACUGGGACUGAGACACGGCCCAGACUCCUACGGGAGGCAGCAGUGGGGAAUCUUGCGCAAUGGGCGAAAGCCUGACGCAGCGACGCCGCGUGAGGGAUGACGGCCUCGGUUGUAA